ensembl:miRNA dre-mir-2192 dre-mir-2192
GGCAGAAUGUUACAAAAUGGCAGCCUUGGUCACUAUUCACUUUCAUGUUUGGAUAAUAAAUUUACUGAAAGUGAAAGGUGACUGAGACUGUCAUUCUGGCUAACAUCUCC